rnacentral:tRNA from 1 species
GGUUCGGUAGCUCAGUGGUAGAGCGAGAGAUUGCAGUCCCCCUUGGCAAAUAUCUCUAGGUCACGUGUUCGAACCACGUUCGGACCU